AUUCUUUUAGUAUUAAUUAGUACAACUGACUUCCAAUCAGUUAGUUUUGGUUAAACCCAAAAAAGAAUA
rnacentral:tRNA from 1 species